GAUGAACGCUGGCGGCGUGCCUAAUACAUGCAAGUCGAGCGAACGGACGAGAAGCUUGCUUCUCUGAUGUUAUCGGCGGACGGGUGAGUAACACGUGGAUAACCUACCUAUAAGACUGGGAUAACUUCGGGAAACCGGAGCUAAUACCGGAUAAUAUUUUGAACCGCAUUGUUCAAAAGUGAAAGACGGUCUUGCUGUCACUUAUAGAUUGAUCCGCGCUGCAUUAGCUAGUUGGUAAGGUAACGGCUUACCAAGGCAACGAUGCAUAGCCGACCUGAGAGGGUGAUCGGCAACACUGGAACUGAGACACGGUCAAGACUCCUACGGGAGGCAGCAGUAGGGAAUCUACCGCAAUGGGCGAAAGCCUGAAGGAGCAACGCCGCGUGAGUGAUGAAGGUAUUCGGAUCGUAAAACUCUGUUAUUAGGGAAGAACAUAUGUGUAAGUAACUGUGCACAUCUUGACGGUACCUAAUCAGAAAGCCACGGCUAACUACGUG
rnacentral:rRNA from 1 species